CUCAUCUAUCCAUCCAUCCAACCAAAAACACACACAAGGUAGCUCUUUUUCUCUACUUCUCUACACCUGCACUGGGAACACAGGGUUGAAUGAGAUACUCAAUUCCCUGUGCUCUCCUGGAACACAGGGUGGAUGAGAUGCGUCUCUCUAUCCUUGACAAGUGCAGUCCUUGGGUGGUCCAUCAGCAAACAGCUGCAGAGCAGGAGACCAGGGCUAAGUGAGAACACAACUGAAGGGCACUCGCUCUUCCUGGAGGAACUUAGGGAAACGGGGUUACCUAUGUCUUGCAUCCCAAAGUCAGAAGCCACUUGCAGACAGGCCCCGGGCUCCGUCUGUGUGGGUGUAGGACCGCUCAGCAGGACAGGUUCACAGACGAGCGUUCGCAGGCUGUGAACAGACCUGCUCAGCCCCCGUGUCCACGGUGCGGCACAAAGUGCCUCAGGUAGGUGCCCUGGGAAGGAGCUUCUGUGUGGAGCCAAUGAGUCAGCAGGCGGCCAAGGACACUCCACUGUUUUUCCAGACUCUGAGAGCCACCUCCUGACAUUUUGUGCCAUUAUAAGCAGUGACUUAAGCAUCUGGAUAGAGGAUACAGGGGAAUGCAGACAGCCAGCGCCGGGACAGGGCAGCAAGCUGGGGGCGGCGAGGAUCGUAAACGUUCCCAGCCCCAGUCAGCGUCUCCCCGCGGGGGGCUGGGGGGGGGGGCUCAGUGAGCAAGUCAAAUGGCUUUUGUUCCUUUUGUUUUGUUCAUUCCACAAAGGAUUUCACUUGACUCAUGAUUUCCCAACCAGCUCCUUCUGUAGCUAAAGAAAGCAAGAGUGAAUAAUUGCUCUGGUUUUUUGCUAGUUGGUUUUUUUUUUUUUCCUUCAUUACAGGAAUGUGUAAACACCCUGGGUUUUUAAGGAUGAGCUGCCAGACCCCGUGUGUCGGAGGCUCCUGCUUUCGGGCAAUGGCUGGCAUCCUGGCUGGGGAAACCAGGCUGACCCUUUUGGCAAGAUCCGACCAUCACUACGCUGCUGGGGACCCCGGCCUGGGUGCCACUGGCCACACUCGAAGUUCAGAUCCAUCUGUUAUGAAUUGAGCCAUGGCCCCCCAAAAUGUGUCAAAAUCCUAAUUUCUAGAACCCCAGAAUGUGACCACAUUUGGAGUGACAUCAGGACACAGACACGCACAGAAGGACGACCACGGGAGGACAUGGGGAGAAGUGGCCAUCGGCAAGCCAAGGAGACAGGCCUGGGGAGGAAGCAGCCCUGUCCACACCUUGAUCCCAGCUUUCAGGACUGGGAGAGAAUAAACAUCUGUGGUUUAA